rnacentral:rRNA from 1 species
CCGCAAGGUUGAAACUCAAAGGAAUUGACGGGGGCCCGCACAAGCGGUGGAGCAUGUGGUUUAAUUCGAAGCAACGCGAAGAACCUUACCAGGUCUUGACAUCCUUUGACCACUCUGGAGACAGAGCUUUCCCUUCGGGGACAAAGUGACAGGUGGUGCAUGGUUGUCGUCAGCUCGUGUCGUGAGAUGUUGGGUUAAGUCCCGCAACGAGCGCAACCCUUGAUUUUAGUUGCCAGCAUUUAGUUGGGCACUCUAAAGUGACUGCCGGUGCAAGCCGGAGGAAGGUGGGGAUGACGUCAAAUCAUCAUGCCCCUUAUGACCUGGGCUACACACGUGCUACAAUGGAUAGUACAAAGGGUCGCGAAGCCGCGAGGUGGAGCUAAUCCCAUAAAACUAUUCUCAGUUCGGAUUGUAGGCUGCAACUCGCCUACAUGAAGCCGGAAUCGCUAGUAAUCGUGGAUCAGCAUGCCACGGUGAAUACGUUCCCGGGCCUUGUACACACCGCCCGUCACACCACGAGAGUUUGUAACACCCGAAGUCGGUAGGGUAACCUUUAUGGAGCCAGCCGCCGAAGGUGGGACAGAUAAUUGGGGUGAAGUCGUAACAAGGUAGCCGUAUCGGAAGGUGCGGCUGGAUCACCUCCUUUCUAAGGAA